rnacentral:rRNA from 1 species
ACGGCGAGUGAAGCGGGAAGAGCUCAAAUUUGAAAUCUGGUGGCCUCAGGUCAUCCGAGUUGUAAUCUAUAGAAGUGUUUUCCGUGCUGGCUCAUGUACAAGUCCCUUGGAACAGGGCGUCAUAGAGGGUGAGAAUCCCGUCCUUGACAUGAACUACCAGUGCUCUGUGAUACAUUUUCAACGAGUCGAGUUGUUUGGGAAUGCAGCUCAAAAUGGGUGGUAAAUUCCAUCUAAAGCUAAAUAUUGGCGAGAGACCGAUAGCGAACAAGUACCGUGAGGGAAAGAUGAAAAGCACUUUGGAAAGAGAGUUAAACAGUAUGUGAAAUUGUUGAAAGGGAAACGAUUGAAGUCAGUCGUGCUCUUUGGAUUCAGCCGGUUCUGCCGGUGUACUUCCUUUGAGUGGGGUCAACAUCAGUUUUGAUCGCUGGAUAAAGGCUGGAGGAACGUAGUACCCUCGGGUAAACUUAUAGCCUCCUGUCACAUACAGUGGUUGGGACUGAGGAACGCAGCACGCCUUUAUGGCCGGGAUUCGUCCACGUACGUGCUUAGGAUGUUGACAUAAUGGCUUUAAACGACCCGUCUUGA